AGCCUGUGCCCCUCCCUGACUGCCCCCCAAAGAUAACUCCAAAUUGCUUGUUUAUCAGAGGCCGUGGAGAGAUCUUUUCAGGAAAUGAACAUAGACAUCACAGGUAGCAAAGACUUCAGACCACAUCUGACUUUCCUGAAGCUAUCCAAAGCACCUGCCCUGAGGAGAAAGAUCAACUAGCAAUUUUUACAUUUUCCUUUUGGGUGAGCCUUUCCCGGUUAUCAAGAUAUUCCCAAAGCAGAUUUCUAACUGCCUAGUAUCCUGCAUAUGGGCUUUAGAAAGAUCUAUUCUGAAUUAUAUAAAGAAUACGAAGACUGCCCCUUUGGGACUGAAGUCUUUAGUCAAAUUGAUCUUUGCUCCAUGCAUAAAAAGAAGCAAGAAUCUGGAUACUAUCACUGUGAAUGUACAAUUUCUUUUGCUCCUACAAAUACAAAUGAGGCCCAGAAGCUACCCGUAGAUAUAGAGUAUUAGGAAGAAUUACACACUCUCAUCUCUCCUGACCCUUGCCCAGAAGCCAAAACCACUGACUGUUGCCAUUGUAUUUCUUGUGUAGCCGAAAAUGAUGAAAAACCCACUGAACAUAUAAUCUCAACUGGGGCUGGAUGUGAGACAGCAGACCAUAAGACAGGUGUACUAGCUUCAAAAGAGAUCUCUACUAUGGAAGGAAAGGUCUUGCUUUAAGCCAGCUCCUAAGAUGUUGCCAGCACAACCAGAUGCAAUGAAGAACAUGACAAGGGAUCAGAGAAAAAAAAUGAAGCUGACAGAUGGUAAUUUGUAAAGAGUUGAAUCAACAGAAAUUGUAUCUGAUCAGCCUGCGUGCCCAGGAUAAGGUAGAACUUGUUCCAAUGCUCGGCUAACUACAGGGAUAGCUGCAGUGCCAAGAGAUUCUAUAAACUAACCUAUGGGGUGUUCUCUGGACUGAGAUGACAACACAGAAACUGAGAUGUGCCACUUCUUUUGAAUGCCAUCUGGAGAGCAAAGUACUUUGUAAGCUACAUCAGAAAUCAUCUGUUUGUAAAUGAGGUAACAAAAACAAAAGUGAAACCCAUCCAGGAAUGUGGAGGGUCUUAACCAAAAACCAAGGAAACCCAGAUGACAGUUCUGCUUUUGGCAACUUCAAAAGACAAAGCUGUCUGACUAUCAUCAUCUAUUAACUUGCCUAUAUAUUUGUGUGGACUGAUUUCAUGUCAUUUUUUUAAAAUUCAGGGCUUAUUUUUAUGAUUUUGGGAAAGCUAAAUUUAAAUCUUUUGGAAUUGUAUUUUAUUCCAAUAAUUGAAAUAUCUUAUUUCAGAAGCCUUAGGAUGAGCUCCCCAAAAUUGAAUGCCUCUGACCAUUUAAGAGGACAAAAUGCUACCAUUAUAGUGUCUCAACAUGCCGUAAACUGAAAUGAAAAAUAUCUUCCUUUAAAUAUUUGACUUCACUUACUGAGAGGAAUUGUAAUCUUUCUUGGGGGAAGAAGGGGCUCAACAUU
rnacentral:lncRNA from 1 species